GUAGGGAAUCUUCCGCAAUGGACGAAAGUCUGACGGAGCAACGCCGCGUGAGUGAUGAAGGCUUUCGGGUCGUAAAACUCUGUUGUUAGGGAAGAACAAGUGCUAGUUGAAUAAGCUGGCACCUUGACGGUACCUAACCAGAAAGCCACGGCUAACUACGUGCCAGCAGCCGCGGUAAUACGUAGGUGGCAAGCGUUAUCCGGAAUUAUUGGGCGUAAAGCGCGCGCAGGUGGUUUCUUAAGUCUGAUGUGAAAGCCCACGGCUCAACCGUGGAGGGUCAUUGGAAACUGGGAGACUUGAGUGCAGAAGAGGAAAGUGGAAUUCCAUGUGUAGCGGUGAAAUGCGUAGAGAUAUGGAGGAACACCAGUGGCGAAGGCGACUUUCUGGUCUGUAACUGACACUGAGGCGCGAAAGCGUGGGGAGCAAACAGG
rnacentral:rRNA from 3 species